GACGAACGCUGGCGGCGUGCCUAAUACAUGCAAGUCGAGCGAGUCUGCCUUGAAGAUCGGAGUGCUUGCACUCUGUGAAACAAGAUACAGGCUAGCGGCGGACGGGUGAGUAACACGUGGGUAACCUGCCCAAGAGAUCGGGAUAACACCUGGAAACAGAUGCUAAUACCGGAUAACAACAGAUGAUGCCUAUCAACUGUUUAAAAGAUGGUUCUGCUAUCACUCUUGGAUGGACCUGCGGUGCAUUAGCUAGUUGGUAGGGUAACGGCCUACCAAGGCGAUGAUGCAUAGCCGAGUUGAGAGACUGAUCGGCCACAUUGGGACUGAGACACGGCCCAAACUCCUACGGGAGGCAGCAGUAGGGAAUCUUCCACAAUGGACGCAAGUCUGAUGGAGCAACGCCGCGUGAGUGAAGAAGGGUUUCAGCUCGUAAAGCUCUGUUGUUGGUGAAGAAGGACAGGGGUAGUAACUGACCUUUGUUUGACGGUAAUCAAUUAGAAAGUCACGGCUAACUACGUG
rnacentral:rRNA from 1 species